GCAAACUUGGUCAUUUAGAGGAAGUAAAAGUCGUAACAAGGUUUCCGUAGGUGAACCUGCGGAAGGAUCAUUACCGAGUCUCUGGGGCCUCUAUGGCCCCGAACUCCCACCCUUUUGUUAACCGACCUCUGUUGCCUCGGCGGGCCCGCGGGCCUCUCGAAAGAGGGCCUGCCGCCGGCCUCCCUAGUGAGGCGGGCCCGCGCCCGUCCGAGGACCAACCCAACUCUGUAUUUAACCAGUCUGUCUGAGUAAAAACAAUAAUAUAUUAAAACUUUCAACAACGGAUCUCUUGGUUCUGGCAUCGAUGAAGAACGCAGC
rnacentral:misc_RNA from 1 species